GUGGUUGUUGUUCUUCAUCUGAAUCACUGUGUGGAAACCUUGGCAUUGGGGUUGGUUGCUGAUAUGGGAAUUGUGCAUUGAGAUUGAAGCUUUGGAGCGUCACAUUCAAUGAGGCGAAAGACAUAUUCGUGGCCUCAAACAUAUGAUCCUGUCUCGCUGCGAGUCUCCGCAUUUCUCUUCGUGCCUCCUUGUUGUGCUCAUUCACUUGUCGUUGAAGGUUUAAGAACUGAGGGCUAGAUAUGUAUUCGGGCUGUGGUGUCGCCUUCGUUCCUUGCUCUCCCAUUUUUGCAUCCCCCUGAAACUAGUCAUCAUCUGAGGUGUCCUCGGCGUCAACCUCAUCCGACCAUCUUAUUCCCGCUUGUCUACAUAACCCACAAAUAAGUGAUGGGUGUGGCAAGCCGCCCAAGAAUGGUCCUCGUAAGCAUCAUCAGAUUGAAAAACUGAUUAUAGCCCCUAUGUCGAUGAUGAAAUCUUG
rnacentral:lncRNA from 1 species